GUUGUUUUCCCCCUUUUGUCAUCCAUUUAAUGUCUUUAUACAUCAAAGUGUUCUAUUUAUAGUUCUAUUCUCUAGGAGGAUUUGAUCAGAUACUUCAGCUGCAUCAGGAAUCCUUUGCUAUGGGCCACAGCAGGCAAGAGGAUAAACUAAAAGUCUGAUUUUUGGGUGGAUGUUGAAAAUCCAAACCCACUUCUAGAUCCAAGCUUUACAGAUUUGUUUGAACACUCC
rnacentral:lncRNA from 1 species